CCUACGGGAGGCAGCAGUGGGGAAUCUUUGGCAAUGGAGGAAACUCUGACCCAGCAACGCCGCGUGAAUGAUGGAGGUCUUCGGAUUGUUAAGUUCUUUUCUAAUGGAAGAAGAAAGUGACGGUACCUUAGGAAUAAGCCUCGGCUAACUACUUGCCAGCAGCCGCGGUAAUACGUAGGAGGCGAGCGUUAUCCGGAAUGACUGGGCGUAAAGGGUGCGUAGGUGGUUUGGCAAGUUAGUAGCGAAACUCCAAGGCUCAACCUGGGAACUGCAACUAAAACUGUUGGACUUGAGUGCAGGGGGGGGAACCGGAAUUCCUGGUGUAGCGGUGGAAUGCGUAGAUAUUAGGAGGAACACCAGUGGCGAAGGCGGGUUGCUAGACUGUAACUGACACUGAGGCACGAAAGCGUGGGGAGCAAACAGGAUUAGAUACCCCUGUAGUC
rnacentral:rRNA from 1 species